rnacentral:rRNA from 1 species
GACGAACGCUGGCGGCGUGCUUAACACAUGCAAGUCGAACGGAAAGGCCCUGCUUUUGUGGGGUGCUCGAGUGGCGAACGGGUGAGUAACACGUGAGUAACCUGCCCUUGACUUUGGGAUAACUUCAGGAAACUGGGGCUAAUACCGGAUAGGAGCUCCUGCUGCAUGGUGGGGGUUGGAAAGUUUCGGCGGUUGGGGAUGGACUCGCGGCUUAUCAGCUUGUUGGUGGGGUAGUGGCUUACCAAGGCUUUGACGGGUAGCCGGCCUGAGAGGGUGACCGGCCACAUUGGGACUGAGAUACCGCCAAGACUCCUACGGGAGGCAGCAGUGCGGAAUAUUGCACAAUGGGCGGCAGCCUGAUGCAGCAACGCCGCGUGCGGGAUGACGGCCUUCGGGUUGUAACCCGCUUUCGCCUGUGACGAAGCGUGAGUGACGGUAAUGUGUAAAGAAGCACCGGCUAACUACGUG